rnacentral:rRNA from 1 species
AGGUAGUAACAGGGUUCGAUUCUGGCUCAAUUGAACGCUGGCGGGAUGCUUUACACAUGCAAGUCGAACGGCAGCACGGACUUCGGUCUGGUAGCGAAGUGGCGAACGGGUGAGUAAUGUAUCGGAACGUGCCUAGUAGCGAGGAUAACUGCGCGAAAGCGUAGCUAACCGCAUACGCCCUUCGAGGAAAGCGGGGGACCUUCGGGCCUCGCACUAAUGAAACGGCCGAUAUCGGAUUAGCUAGUUGGUGGGGUAACGGCUCACCAAGGCGACGUCCAUGUAGCUGGUUUGAGAGGACGACCAGCCACACUGGGACCACGAGACACGUACAGACUCUACGGGGAGGCAGCAGUGGGGAAUUUACGGACAAUGGGGAAACCCUGAUCCAGCCAUCCCGCGUGUGCGAUGAAGGCCUUCGGGUUGUAAAGCACUUUUGGCAGGAAAGAAACGGCACAGGAUAUGCCCCGUGCAACUGACGUACAGAAUAAGCACCGGCUAACUACGUGCCAGCAGCCGCGGUAAUACGUAGGGUGCAAGCGUUAAUCUGAAUACUGGGCGUAAAGCGUGCGCAGGCGGUUCGGAAGAAAGAUGUGAAAUCCCAAGACUUAACUUUGGAACUGCAUUUUUAACUACCGAGCUAGAGUGUCAGAGGUGGAAUUCCGUGUAGCAGUGAAAUGCGUAGAUAUGCGGAGGAACACCGAUGGCGAAAACAACCUCCUGGGAUAACACUGACGCUCAUGCACGAAAGCGUGUUAAACAAGUUAGAUACCCUGGUAGUCCACGCCUAAACGAUGUCAACUAGCUGUUGGGGCCUUCGGGCCUUGGUAGCGCAACUAACGCGUGAAGUUGACCGCCUGGGAAGUACCGGUCGCAAAGAUUAAAACUCGAAUUGACGGGGACCACUGGUGGAUGAUGUGGAUUAAUUCGAUACAACGCGAAAAACCUUACCUACCCUUGACAUGUCUGGAAUCCGAAGAGAUUUGAAGUGCUCGCAAGAGAACCGGAACACAGGUGCUGCAUGGCUGUCGUCAGCUCGUGUCGUGAGAUGUUGGGUUAAGUCCGCAACGAGCGCAACCCUUGCUCAUUAGUUGCUACGAAAGGGCACUCUAAUGAGACUGCCGGUGACAAACUGGAGGAAGGUGGGGAUGACGUCAAAGUCCUCAUGGCCCUUGGUGGAGCUUCACACGUCAUACAAUGGUGGGACGAGGUGCUCAACCGCGAGAGGCCAAUCCAGAAGCCCGAUGUGGAGUGGAUUGCAAGUCUGCAACUCGACUGCCAUUGAAGUCGGAAUCGCUAGUAAUCGCGGAUCAGCAUGUCGCGGUGAAUGGUCCCGGAGUGCUUGUACACCACCGCCCGUCACCUGCUGGGAAUUGGGUUUACCAAGUAGUUAGCCUAACCGCAAGGAGGGCUGCGAUUACUACGGUAGGAUUCGCGGCUGGGGGUGAAGUCGUAACAAGGUAA